GACGAACGCUGGCGGCGUGCUUAACACAUGCAAGUCGAACGGUGAAGCACCUUCCUUUUGGUGGGUGUGGAUGAGUGGCGAACGGGUGAGUAACACGUGAGUAACCUGCCCCCUUCUUCUGGAUAACCGCAUGAAAGUGUGGCUAAUACGGGAUAUUCUGUGCCUGCUGCAUGGUGGGUGUGGGAAAGAUGCGCCUUUGGGUGUUUUUGGUGGGGGAUGGGCUCGCGGCCUAUCAGCUUGUUGGUGGGGUGAUGGCCUACCAAGGCGGUGACGGGUAGCCGGCCUGAGAGGGUGGACGGUCACACUGGGACUGAGACACGGCCCAGACUCCUACGGGAGGCAGCAGUGGGGAAUAUUGCACAAUGGGCGCAAGCCUGAUGCAGCGACGCCGCGUGAGGGAUGGAGGCCUUCGGGUUGUAAACCUCUUUCGCCAGUGAAGCAGGCCUGCUCCUUGUGGGUGGGUUGACGGUAGCUGGAUAAGAAGCGCCGGCUAACUACGUGCCAGCAGCCGCGGUAAUACGUAGGGCGCGAGCGUUGUCCGGAAUUAUUGGGCGUAAAGAGCUCGUAGGCGGCUGGUCGCGUCUGUCGUGAAAUCCUCUGGCUUAACUGGGGGCUUGCGGUGGGUACGGGCCGGCUUGAGUGCGGUAGGGGAGACUGGAACUCCUGGUGUAGCGGUGGAAUGCGCAGAUAUCAGGAAGAACACCGGUGGCGAAGGCGGGUCUCUGGGCCGUUACUGACGCUGAGGAGCGAAAGCGUGGGGAGCGAACAGGAUUAGAUACCCUGGUAGUCCACGCCGUAAACGUUGGGCACUAGGUGUGGGGGGCCUUUUCCGGGUCUUCCGCGCCGUAGCUAACGCAUUAAGUGCCCCGCCUGGGGAGUACGGCCGCAAGGCUAAAACUCAAAGGAAUUGACGGGGGCCCGCACAAGCGGCGGAGCAUGCGGAUUAAUUCGAUGCAACGCGAAGAACCUUACCAAGGCUUGACAUGUGCCGGUCGGCUCCGGAGACGGGGUUUCCUCCUUUGUGGGGCCGGUUCACAGGUGGUGCAUGGUUGUCGUCAGCUCGUGUCGUGAGAUGUUGGGUUAAGUCCCGCAACGAGCGCAACCCUUGUCCCGUGUUGCCAGCACGUUGUGGUGGGGACUCGCGGGAGACUGCCGGGGUCAACUCGGAGGAAGGUGGGGAUGACGUCAAAUCAUCAUGCCCCUUAUGUCUUGGGCUUCACGCAUGCUACAAUGGCCGGUACAGAGGGCUGCGAUACCGUGAGGUGGAGCGAAUCCCUUAAAGCCGGUCUCAGUUCGGAUCGGUGUCUGCAACUCGACACCGUGAAGUUGGAGUCGCUAGUAAUCGCAGAUCAGCAACGCUGCGGUGGAUACGUUCUCGGGCCUUGUACACACCGCCCGUCACGUCAUGAAAGUCGGCAACACCCGAAGCCCGUGGCCCUACGGGGAGCGGUCGAAGGUGGGGCUGGUGAUUGGGACG
rnacentral:rRNA from 1 species